rnacentral:lncRNA from 1 species
GGGACGGCGCUGAGGUGAAACAGGCUGAACCCGACUGAUGUGGCUCCUCUCUCGGUUGGACCCAGUGCCCUAAGCAGCCGAUGAGAGACCCCCGGCCGCCCGGCUCGCAGUAGUCUGAUAAUUAUGUAAGAACAGGACGAAACUUGAGAGGAAGUAGAACCAUGUGAAGCAGAAGGAAGUGUCCUCACUGGUAAAGAUGAGGUAUCUUUUUAAUGCUGAAAUGGACACAGUAAUUGUGAACCGUGUGGUAAGGAGCUCUUUCUAAAAUAUGCAGUAACGUAUUCACUGGAAUUUAACAGCCUGUGUACUUCAAAGCUUCUCUUGCCUGUAAUCAUGUGAACAAACCUUCCAAGUCGCUUUGCCAGCUCGAGAUUUGUCAGAGCACUAACACAGCGUUGAAGCAGCCCCUGCCACC